CCGUUCCCGGGCCUUGUACACACCGCCCGUCACACCAUGGGAGUUGGUUUUACCCGAAGCCGGUGGGCUAACCCGCAAGGGAGGCAGCCGACCACGGUAAGGUCAGCGACUGGGGUG
rnacentral:rRNA from 1 species